CGUUGUGAAACUAAAUCCAUUCAGCGUCACGUGUGAUAUAUCAUUUAUUGACACAACUGCGCUUGGGUAAAUAAAGACAUUCUAUAUAAAAACGGCAUCCAGCAUUCACUCGAACAAUCAUCGACAAGAAAGAUGAAAAUAUUUCACAUUUAUUUCUAUCUAUUGAUAGUGCUGCUAGCCGGCUGCCUUCUGCCAGCAGCGGUCGAAGCGGGUGAUAAAACUUCUUCGGAGGCAAUCCGCAAGGCCAAAACAGGAUCGGUGGCCGAUAAGCCGAAGGCGAAACAGGUUCAACAGCAGAGAAAAAUCACGGGCGUUAAUGAGGGAUAGGACUCUUCCUGCUCUCGAGAUCGAAUAGUUUUUCUCGUCGUCGAUGAUAAAAUGAGUUCAGUGUUAGCUAAUAAAAAUUCCAGGAACGCACCAAGUUUUUACGUUUUGGACGAACUAAAUUCUAGUUGACAAAUUUAUAUAAAUUGUAAAGAAUUUUCUAAAACGAAGCGAAAGCGAUAAUGUCAAAAAAAUUAAAUAAAAUAUGUUGAAACUGAACGAGA